CUUUCAUUUUCCAUGCUGAGCUAGCAGUAAUUGGGUAGAAGAAUCAGAGGGACAUUAGCAGUCCUUGCUACGCCACUGACCAGGAGCCGCCUGAGGUAUGUGCCCUCUGAUUACCAUUAUGAUACGAGAAUGCUUCUUCCCACAUUAUGGCUGCUUACACAUGGGAAUAACUGCCAUACUUUGCCUAAAGUACCAAUAAUUACACUGCAACUACACGUAUGAAAAGAGAAGAAGUCAACAACAGCUGGAAAUGGGAGAAGAUGAGAGAAUAAGCAGAAAUGCACAGUAGAUGAGAAGAGAAGUCAAAUAAAUAGACAAGGAAGGAAAGGGUUAUGCAAGAACCGGGAAAGAGAAGAAAGCAAGAUGUAGAAUGCAAAGGAGAUAUGUGGUGUUUAGAUGUUGCUUAUAAUUAUUAGAAGUGGGAGCACUGGCUGUUGGGAGUCUGAAAGGACAGGAAACAAGAAGGAGGGAGGAGGAGUUGAGAGGCUGGGAGAAAGCUACAGAGGGUGCAG